rnacentral:rRNA from 1 species
UACGUAGGUGGCAAGCGUUGUCCGGAUUUAUUGGGUUUAAAGGGUGCGUAGGCGGCUUUGUAAGUCAGUGGUGAAAUAUGGCAGCUCAACUGUCAAGGUGCCAUUGAUACUGCAGAGCUUGAGUACAGAUGAGGUAGGCGGAAUUGACGGUGUAGCGGUGAAAUGCUUAGAUAUCGUCAAGAACACCUAUAGCGAAGGCAGCUUACUAGGCUGUAACUGACGCUGAGGCACGAAAGUGUGGGGGAUCAAACAGG